CCUUGUUUCAUUUUCUUGUGAAAGGUCAGUUUCUCGAGUUUUAAUUUUCUUUCUUAAUCUCUCAACUAUAACCAUUUCUUUCUUUCAUUUUUUUCACCUUUUUUAGCCAAAAUAUUGGAUUUAUAUACAUGUAUAUAUAUAGAGAGAGAGAGAGAGUAAAUAGUAAGCUUAAAAAUUUGCUAUAGGAGUGGACAGAUUUUUCCCACCCUCAAAAGGUCUAUGGUCACCUUUAACAAAGAAUGAAGGAGAGU
rnacentral:misc_RNA from 1 species